UGAAGCGAGGCGGGCUAGUCGCUGAACGAAGGCAGAGUAUCCUGUCGCGUGCACACAAACGUUUCAUAAAGUUUCGCAUCGCGAGAAUGUCAUAAUGAGCUUUGUGUUUAUCUCAAAUUUGUUAUCAGAAGCUGUAUUUUUCUUCCACUUUGAUUACGUAGGUGGAAUGAAGGUGUAGGUUGGCAUUUAUAGAAUCUGUGUUAGGCGUAGUAAGGGUCAUGCUUCCCAGCAUGCGGGCUCAGCACGGGCCUAGGUGGCUUUGAAACCAACCCUAUAGUGGUGAUGCGCUCCCAGGCAGAGCCAGCCACAAUCCCCCAGCUUGCCGCCUCCCUCGGACCCUCGCUUCGCCUCAGUCAGUCAGUGGCGCACCCGCAACCUGAACGGACCGACGCGCUGCCGAUCACGGCACAACGCACGCCUCCACUCUGCCAGGACGCGGGAUAACUACCUUGUUACUGUGAAGCCCCAGCAGGAUACCUCGCACCGGGUGGCGUUGGCAGCGGUGCCAGGGCCAGCGAGGCGGCAGCAGGAGGAGGCGCAGCUCCGGGCGGCCAGACGUGCCCAGUAGUGUGUUACCCGGAGCCACGUGUGCGCUACACGAGCAG
rnacentral:misc_RNA from 1 species